GACGAACGCUCGCGGCGUGCUUAACACAUGCAAGUCGAACGGAAAGGCCCUGCUUUUGUGGGGUGCUCGAGUGGCGAACGGGUGAGUAACACGUGAGUAACCUGCCCUUGACUUUGGGAUAACUUCAGGAAACUGGGGCUAAUACCGGAUAUGAGCUCCUGCUGCAUGGUGGGGGUUGGAAAGUUUCGGCGGUUGGGGAUGGACUCGCGGCUUAUCAGCUUGUUGGUGGGGUAGUGGCUUACCAAGGCUUUGACGGGUAGCCGGCCUGAGAGGGUGACCGGCCACAUUGGGACUGAGAUACGGCCCAGACUCCUACGGGAGGAAGCAGUGGGGAAUAUUGCACAAUGGGCGGAAGCCUGAUGCAGCAACGCCGCGUGCGGGAUGACGGCCUUCGGGUUGUAAACCGCUUUCGCCUGUGACGAAGAGUGAGUGAGGUUAAUGGGUAAAGAGGGACGGGCUAGAUACGGG
rnacentral:rRNA from 1 species